UCACUUUUCUUUUAAUUAACCACAUAUCAAUUUGCUUUACUUUUUUCGGAUUCAGUUCACUUUUAUCGGAGCUUUAGACAUGAAUACACUAAAAAUUUCAAAAUUAUGGUGCGGCGGAAAGAAAAUUAUUUGGAAACCAAGUUGUGCUAGCUACUGACACUGAUAACUGCAAAGAAAUGCUAAAUGUAACAUGGACUUAAUCGAUGGCUACGGGUUAGUUAAUCAUUUUCCCUUGGACGAUCGUCCUCAGUUUUGGAAAGCUUUUCCGGCCCAGGAGGAAGGAUAAGCCUGUCUGCGAAAAUAGGACAGGAUCAAAGGAACGAAGUGUUCUUCGACUCUCAACCUGUCAGGAGGAUAUACUGAUCGGUUGCCGAUACCACUUCCUGCCAAAGAAAGCGAGGAAAUGAAAGAUAUCCUCAAUUUGGAGUGCCACGAAAACGAUUUUGAGUCUGAUGAAGAGAAAGGGUUCCUGGAAUUGCCGUUCUUUAAGGAGGGCCCCGGCUUUUCAUCAGAAGAAAAGGAGUGGUUGCCCAAUUUCCACUCCAUUGAGGAGUUCAAAUUUCAUAUCAUCGACUUGUAGUCCGUCGAAAAAAGUCCAGAUGUCAAAUUUAGAAAUAAAAAUGUUAUAUUCUAGAAA